GCCGGUGUGGCACAGUGGUUAGAGUGCUGGACAAGGAUUUGGGAGACGAGGGUUCAAAUCCUCACUCGGCC